CCUACGGGUGGCAGCAGUGGGGAAUAUUGCACAAUGGGGGAAACCCUGAUGCAGCGACGCCGCGUGAGUGAAGAAGUAUUUCGGUACGUAAAGCUCUAUCAGCAGGGAAGAAAAUGACGGUACCUGACUAAGAAGCCCCGGCUAACUACGUGCCAGCAGCCGCGGUAAUACGUAGGGGGCAAGCGUUAUCCGGAUUUACUGGGUGUACAGGGAGCGUAGACGGCAGCGCAAGUCUGGAGGGAAAUCCCAUGGCUUAACCAUGGAACUGCUUUGGAAACUGUGCAGCUAGAGUGCAGGAGAGGUAAGCGGAAUUCCUAGUGUAGCGGUGAAAUGCGUAGAUAUUAGGCGGAACACCAGUGGCGACGGCGGCUUACUGGACUGUAACUGACGUUGAGGCUCGAAAGCGUGGGGAGCAAACAGGAUUAGAUACCCGUGUAGUC
rnacentral:rRNA from 1 species